rnacentral:rRNA from 1 species
GAUGAACGCUGGCGGCGUGCUUAAUACAUGCAAGUCGAGCGAACAGACGAGUUGCUUGCUGCUCUGACGUUUGCGGCGGACGGGUGAGACAUACGUGGAAAACCCACCUAUUAGAAAGGAAUAACUUCGGCAAACCGGAGCUAAUAACGGAAAAUAUAGUUAACCGAAGGGUUAUGUAGUGAAAGAGGGCUUUGCUGUCCAUUAUCGAUUGAUCGGCGUCGCAUUGGCAAGUUGGUAAGGUAACUGCUUGCCCAGGGAGCGAUGCGUGCCCGACAUGAGAGGGUGAUCGGCCACACUGAGAGUGAGACACGGUCCAGGGUCCGACGGGAGGCAGCAGUAGUGAAUCGUCCGCAAAGGGCGGAAGCCUGACGGAGCAGCGCCACGUGAGUGAUGAAGGUCUUCGGAUCGUACGACUCUGUUAUUCGGGAAGAACAAUUGUGUAAGUAACUAUGCACGCCUUGACGGUACCUAAUCAGGAAGCCACGGCUAACUACGUG